AACCUGCUUGUGGAUCAUUACCCACGUGA
rnacentral:rRNA from 1 species